CAAUGCAGUCGAGCGAGAAUCGUAGCAAUACGAGGACAGCGGCGAAAGGGAGAGGAAUACGUAGAUAUCUGCCCCUGAGACCGGGAUAGCGUCGGGAAACUGGCAGUAAUACCGGAUAACGUCUUUGGACCAAAGGUGUGAUUCCGCUCGGGGAUGAGUCUACGCCCUAUUAGCUAGUUGGUGGGGUAAUGGCCUACCAAGGCGAUGAUGGGUAGCGGGUGUGAGAGCAUGAUCCGCCUCACUGGGACUGAGAACUGCCCAGACACCUACGGGUGGCUGCAGUCGAGAAUCUUUGUCAAUGGACGAAAGUCUGAACAAGCGACGCCGCGUGCGGGAUGAAGGCCUUCGGGUUGUAAACCGCUGUCGUAGGGGAACAAAUGUAGAGGGGUUCUCCCCUUUAUUUGAGUGAUCCUAGGAGGAAGGAGAGGCUAAGCUCGUGCCAGCAGCCGCGGUAAGACGAGCUCUCCAAACGUUAUUCGGAAUCACUGGGCUUAAAGAGUUCGUAGGCGGCUCAGCAGGUCAGGUGUGAAAUCCCACAGCUCAACUGUGGAACUGCGCUUGAAACCGCUGGGCUUGAGGGAGACAGAGGUAAGCGGAACAGAUGGUGGAGCGGUGAAAUGCGUUGAUAUCAUCUGGAACACCGGUGGCGAAAGCGGCUUACUGGGUCUCUUCUGACGCUGAGGAACGAAAGCUAGGGUAGCAAACGGGAUUAGAUACCCCGGUAGUCCUAGCCGUAAACGAUGAGCACUAGUCUGUGGGGACCCUCACAUCCUCUCGGACGUAGCGAAAGUGUUAAGUGCUCCGCCUGGGGAGUAUGGUCACAAGGCUGAAACUCAAAGGAAUUGACGG
rnacentral:rRNA from 1 species